rnacentral:piRNA from 1 species
AAUCACUGUAUUUUUUGACCCAG